GAUGAAGAACGCAGCGAAAUGCGAUAAGUAGUGUGAAUUGCAGAAUUCAGUGAAUCAUCGAAUCUUUGAACGCACAUUGCGCCCGCUGGUAUUCCGGCGGGCAUGCCUGUUCGAGCGUCAUUUCAACCCUCAAGCCCCCGGGUUUGGUGUUGGGGAUCGGCUCUGCCCUUCUGGGCGGUGCCGCCCCCGAAAUACAUUGGCGGUCUCGCUGCAGCCUCCAUUGCGUAGUAGCUAACACCUCGCAACUGGAACGCGGCGCGGCCAUGCCGUAAAACCCCAACUUCUGAAUGUUGACCUCGGAUCAGGUAGGAAUACCCGCUGAACUUAAGCAUAUCAAAAGCGGAGGA
rnacentral:misc_RNA from 1 species